ACGGAGUGUGCUCGUGGAUUCGGGUGGGCGUCGUGGUUUCGGUGUGAUCAAGGCUUCGUAGGUUCGAAGUGUGGACGUUUUGUGGAUUCGGGACGUGACGUUCGUGGAUUCGGACGUGGGGCGUGGACAACGUGUUUGUGUGCGCGAGAUCCGGAGAAGAUAAAAGAGAGGUUUGAGUCCGUGGAAUCGGUAAAUCACCUUGUAAUCUUUUAUUCUUAGUGGAUUGUUAUCG
rnacentral:lncRNA from 1 species